CUGCAACUGGAGAGCCAGAAAAUCUGUACAAGAAUGUGGAGCCUGCUCAUUUGAAGUUAAAGAUAGAGGCAGCAGCACAAGCUGUGUCCUGACAGUUUCUAAUUUCAGAUAUCUGACUGUAGCUAAGCUAACCACCGUCCAACUGAGGCUGGCUGCUUUUGUUGUCGUGCUUGCCUGGUAGAGAGGGCUUUAUACUCUACAGUUGUUAAGAAGGACAAACCUUUGGAGUAGCACACAGACAGACAAGGAGAAGGAAACAGAGGAACAUGGUACAUUCUGAAGGAAUGAUUGAAGAUCGUGGGAGGAGUGGCGACAUCAUGGCGGAGAGACGACAACUGUUCGCAGAGAUGCGGGCGCAAGAGUUGGAUUCCAUAAGAUUGUCCACGUAUAGAACUGCUUCCAAACUCAGAUUCGUUCAGAAGAAAUGCAAUCUCCAUUUGGUGGACAUCUGGAACGUGAUCGAGGCGUUCAGAGAGAACGGCCUGAACACCAUGGACCUCAACACAGAGUUCACUGUGGCUCGCCUGGAAGCAAUACUAUCGACCAUCUUCUACCAGCUCAACAAGCGCAUGCCCACCACACACCAGAUCAAUGUGGAACAGUCCAUCAGUCUGCUACUCAACUUUCUCCUGGCUGCCUAUGACCCGGAAGGCCUCGGAAAAAUGUCUGUCUUUGUUGUGAAGAUGGCCCUGGCAACCAUCUGCGGAGGAAAGAUUUUGGAUAAAUUAAGAUAUAUUUUUUCACAGAUAUCAGACCCUGGUGGCAUAAUGGUGUACUCCCAAUUCGACCAGUUUCUGAGGGAGGUUCUCAAAUUGCCAAUGACUGUUUUUGAGGGGCCUUCCUUUGGCUAUACUGAGCAAGCCACAAGAACCUGCUUUGCACAGCAGAAAAAGGUCUCCCUCAACACAUUCCUGGACACGAUGAUGUCAGAUCCUCCUCCUCAGUGUCUGGUGUGGUUACCACUCAUGCAUCGCUUGGCUAAUGUGGAGAAUGUGUUCCACCCGGUCGAGUGCUCCUACUGCCACAGUGAGAGUAUAAUGGGCUUCCGCUACCGCUGCCAACAAUGUCAUAAUUACCAGCUCUGUCAGGACUGCUUCUGGAGGGGGCAUGCCAGCGGUUCCCAUAGCAACCAACACCAAAUGAAGGAGUACACGUCAUGGAAAUCGCCUGCUAAGAAGUUAUCUAAUGCUCUCAGCAAGUCACUGAGCUGUGCAUCCAGCAGAGAACCUUUACACCCCAUGUUUCCUGACAUGCCAGAAAAACCUCUGAACCUAGCCCACAUUGUAGACACUUGGCCUCCCAGACCAAUGAAUAGCACCAAUGACUUCAUGCUCUCCCACUCCAUGCCCACGUCAGGGAACCCUUACUCCACUAAGAAUUUGCUGGAGAGCAGUUACCACCAGGAGGAAGAGCACAGUCUCAUCGCCCACUACGCUGCUAGACUGGCCUCUGACGCAGACGCCGCGCAACAGCAGCAGAGGGUCCCCAACGAUAUCUCUUUCUCUCUGGAUGCCAACAAGCAGCAGAGGCAGCUUAUUGCUGAGCUAGAGAGCAAAAACAGAGAGAUCUUGCAGGAGAUCCAGCGUCUGAAAGUGCAGCACGAGCAGGCCUCCCAGCCUCCCACAUGCACGUCCCAACAGAACCCCACUCUGCUGGCCGAGUUACGGCUUCUCAGGCAACGCAAAGAUGAGCUGGAGCAGAGGAUGUCUGCUCUGCAGGAGAGUCGCAGGGAACUCAUGGUACAGCUGGAGCAGCUGAUGCUGCUGCUGAAGGAGGAGGAAAGGAAGCAAGCUACUCAGGGACCUGGCUCCCCCCGCUCGUCUCCCAGCCACACAGUCAGUCGGCCCAUCCCCAUGCCAACCCAGUCAGAAUCUGCCGGCACCACACCCACUCACACCCCUCAGGACUCACUCAUGGGUGUGGGAGGGGACGUGCAGGAGGCCUUCGCUCAGGGCCCCAGAAGGAACUUGAGAAAUGACCUCCUUGUUGCUGCUGACUCCAUCACCAACACCAUGUCUUCAUUGGUUAAAGAGCUCAAUUCAGAGGCUGGAAGUCAAUCAGGGAGCAACAUGGACUCUCAGACAGAUGAACUGGUCUCCUCUCCCACUUCCGAUCUUCUAGCACAGAUGAGCACUAAACCACGUGUUGGUGGCAGGAACCCUGGUGGAGUUGAGGAGGAGUGCUAUGAGAAUGACUUGGUUCAGGUGCUGGAGGAUGAGCUGAAGAUGGGGGAACAACUAAAACACAGACGGGAGCAAGAGAAAACCCAUAUGGUGACCUAUGGUUUGAGUUAUUAUAAUGGAAAAUAAGUGCAUUUCAAAACACAUUCCUUACAUAUUCCUUGAAUUCUUCUCUCUUCAUUUUGGUUGUUUUCUUGGUGCGGUACAGGUGACUUUGCAGCAAUGACCUUGUUUAACAAGUCUCCUGGUAAGCAAUAUGAAAAGCCACAAAAGUAGAAAAACACUGGAAGAUGGAUGAGAAGAGAAGGCAUAUAGAGAAGGCUGUGAAGAGAUGAUGGUCCACAUGCAUGCAAGUCAAGCUAAAAAAGAAGUGACAAGGAGGAAGGAUCAAAGUUAUUACACUGCUAAAUCCAACAAUAGAAUACAUAGUUAUAUUAUGUAAAGAUCUAUUUUUUAAACCAACAGCAUUUCUAAGUGAAUACUGUGAACCGAUAUGGAGGGAUUAUUAAACAAAGCAGCUGUCUAUUAUACCACCGGUGCCAUAAAAUCGAAUAGCUUUGUUGACAAUUAUUUGAUAUUUAAUCAUAUUAUUUUUGGGUAUGAGUUGUUGAAGAAUUGUGCAAAUAUAUGCUGUAGUUAAUUUUUCCCUGAGGCCGCAUUCGGUCUUCAACGAGGUCCGGAGUGUCGCACUGAAUUGUUUAAAAUAUUUCCUUGCUGUCAAAAUUUGCAAAAAAUUGUCCUCUAUCCAUCAUUUUGGGAAUUGCCUAUGAUCUCUGACUGUUUAGUAGCGAGCUGGACUGUCAAGAAACUGUAUGAGUAUAGGUCCAAUAUCAUUUCUACACAGUUUUGAUUAGAUUUUAGUCCUUUUUUUUUCAUUUUAAAGUGUAUUUUUACUCAAACCACCCACGGGCCAGAUUGGACGCCCUCUGACCUGCGGGUCGUAUGUUUGAUACCCCUGCUGUAGGUGUAUUGCUGGUGAGAUUGCUUUUUAAACCAAAUAGUAAACUUGGUAUAUGUGUAAACUGAGGCACAACUGUAUAAUCCAGAGGGUAGCUACAGUAUGUCUGACGCUAUGACCUGGUUGGCCCACCAGUCGAAUGAUACUGGUGUUGUAUCGCUUUUGUAUUUGUUGUUUGACCUUUUAGCUUUUUGAUUGACCUAUUGAAAGAGUGGCUUGUCAGAUAGUUUAUUUUAUUUGCCUUAGCUGGUUAGUCUAGCUCACCUUUGGAUGGGGUACAGUCAGACCUUCAAUGCAGCAUGUACUGUAGCUAACAUUGUUCCAGCCACUGAUAAAUUCACUGUCAAAAUCAAUUUGUUUAUUUCACCCACAAGUAUUGCCUAGUAGUUAAUAGUACUGUAUUACGUAAGACAACUUUGCAGCCGAGGAACAAUGUUAUUUGCCUUCUGCAUGUUGUGUUUGCCACAUUGCAAAUUUUAUUUAAUUCCACCUGGAGUAUUAAGCCGUUAGGUGAUACUAAGAGAAUGAGACAGUAUAAGACAAAGAAGCUGAACCUAUGAUACAUCUAAUGCUGGAAAGUAAUAUUGUCUACUGAAGGAUUUUGUUACCUAAUAGCUAUACAUUGAUUAAGAGUUAUAGUUGAGUUUAUUUUAUUAUAGCUGCUUGAGAUUUGAAGAUGUGACGACAUAAAUGAAAUUGGAGUAGGGAGUACAGUACGUAGACAGUACAUAGUAGAUAGAAUGGACAGUACAGUACAUAUAAUGGACAACAUUGUUCAUAACACUCCAGAUUCUAAGGUUUACACUUGCAAGAACAGAGGACAUUGUUUGUUUACCAUGUUUCAGAAUCAAUAUCUUCUGUUUUACCAGAGAUUUUGAAGUUGCAUUGUCAUUUAAAUGUUCUGACCAAAUUAUUAGCGUUCUUAUACUCACUCACACACAAAUCUCUCACAAACAUACACUCAAAGACACUCACAGUCACACACUUGGUAACCAAGCUCAUUGUGUGUAAAUGUUACCCAGUCACUUUAAAAUAUGUGGUGCAAGCCAAUAAAUGUGUGAAAUAUAUCUAGUAUGAUUUUCAAACUAAUUCGUAUAAGUGAUUUUGCAUGGUGGUGAUGAUGCAUAAUAAAGAUUUGACACAACAUGAUAAUGUUGUUGCCUAUGA